ACCAGGCAAUCUGAAAUAAUUGUAGAAGAGAAGGAAGCUGAGAUCCAAAGACUGAAAAAUCAAAUAGAGGAAUAUGAAAAAAAUAUAGAGGAAAAACGGACACUGGAAGCUGAUGUCCUCAGUAUUACAUGCCAGUUUCAUGAAACCACAAAGCAAUCUGACAUAAUUGUUGAAGAGAAGGAAACUGAGAUCCAAAGACUGAAACAUCAAAUUGA